GAUGAACGCUGGCGGCGUGCCUAAUACAUGCAAGUCGAGCGAACAGACGAGGAGCUUGCUCCUCUGACGUUAGCGGCGGACGGGUGAGUAACACGUGGAUAACCUACCUAUAAGACUGGGAUAACUUCGGGAAACCGGAGCUAAUACCGGAUAAUAUAUUGAACCGCAUGGUUCAAUAGUGAAAGACGGUUUUGCUGUCACUUAUAGAUGGAUCCGCGCCGCAUUAGCUAGUUGGUAAGGUAACGGCUUACCAAGGCAACGAUGCGUAGCCGACCUGAGAGAGUGAUCGGCCACACUGGAGCAGGAACACGGUCCAGACUCCUACGGGAGGCAGCAGUAGGGAAUCUUCCGCAAUGGGCGAAAGCCUGACGGAGCAACGCCGCGUGAGUGAUGGAGGUCUUCGGAUCGUAAAACUCUGUUAUUAGGGAAGAACAAAUGUGUAAGUAACUAUGCACGUCUUGACGGUACCUAAUCAGAAAGCCACGGCUAACUACGUG
rnacentral:rRNA from 1 species